GACGAACGCUGGCGGCGUGCUUAACACAUGCAAGUCGAACGGAAAGGCCCUGCUUUUGUGGGGUGCUCGAGUGGCGAAAGGGUGAGUAACACGUGAGUAACCUGCCCUUGACUUUGGGAUAACUUCAGGAAACUGGGGCUAAUACCGGAUAGGAGCUCCUGCUGCAUGGUGGGGGUUGGAAAGUUUCGGCGGUUGGGGAUGGACUCGCGGCUUAUCAGCUUGUUGGUGGGGUAGUGGCUUACCAAGGCUUUGACGGGUAGCCGGCCGGAGAGGGUGACCGGCCACAUUGGGACUGAGAUACGGCCCAGACUCCUACGGGAGGCCACAGUGGGGAAUAUUGCACAAUGGGCGGACGCCUGAUGCAGCAGCGCCGCGUGCGGGAUGACGGCCUUCGGGUUGUAAACCGCUUUCGCCUGUGACGAAGCGUGAGUGACGGUAAUGGGUAAAGAAGCACCGGCUAACUACGUG
rnacentral:rRNA from 1 species